GACAGAGGGGGCAAGCGUUGCUCGGAAUCACUGGGCGUAAAGGGCGCGUAGGCGGGAUGGCAAGUCGGUCGUGAAAUCCCACGGCUCACCCGUGGAACUGCUGGAUAUACUGGGAGUCUUGAGUCGUGCAGGGGCAGCCGGAACAAGCGGUGGAGCGGUGAAAUGCGUAGAUAUCGCUUGGAACGCCGAAGGCGAAAGCAGGCUGCUGGGCACGAUCUGACGCUGAAACACGAAAGCCAGGGGAGCAAACGGG
rnacentral:rRNA from 1 species